rnacentral:rRNA from 1 species
UUAUGCCUACGGGGGGCAGCAGUCGGGAAUAUUGCGCAAUGGAGGAAACUCUGACGCAGUGACGCCGCGUAUAGGAAGAAGGUUUUCGGAUUGUAAACUAUUGUCGUUAGGGAAGAAAAACGACAGUACCUAAGGAGGAAGCUCCGGCUAACUACGUGCCAGCAGCCGCGGUAAUACGUAGGGAGCGAGCGUUAUCCGGAUUUACUGGGUGUAAAGGGAGCGCAGGCGGUUCUGCAAGUCUGAUGUGAAAGCCCGGGGCUCAACCGCGGGACUGCAUUGGAAACUGCGG